rnacentral:lncRNA from 11 species
AUGGAUAGCCCCAACAAUUUCUGCCGCCUAUGUGGCGCAGUGCUGCGUGGCAAUCAUCGGCGAUGGUUAUUCAGCCGCAAUAGUGGCAACUCACGCCCUGACCUUCUGGUGGUGCUGUCCUUCGUCCUUGACCGACAGCCACCCCAGCGUGGAGACAGCCGCGGAGAGUUCCUCUGUGGGAAGUGUGCCCAGGCCUUGGGCCGCGUGUAUCGCUUUGACACCGUCAUUGCCCGGGUCCAAGCGCUCUCCAUUGACCGGCUCCAGCGCCUCCUUUCAGAGAAGGACCAGCUGGCCCGCUCCUUGCGCUACAUUCAUGCACGAAGGUUUCCAAAUGACAAGGACGUGCUGUCCUACACGGGCCAAGAGAUCUCAGCCAGCAUUGCAGAUUUGCCACACGUCCGGUACCAGCGUCUCUUGCAGGAUGACAUGGCACUCUCCGAAUAUGAGUGUUGGGCAAACGAUACAGACAGCAGCCAGCCAGGCUCACCCUGCCGCAACCGCCAGUGCCGCAGCUGCCACGGGCUGCGGGUUGAGGACUCUGAUUACGAGUGGGUGUGCCGGACCCCACGAAGGCUGGGCGUGUCAUCUCCCAUCUUUCCCCUGUGCCGGGAUAAAUCCCAGAGCAUGCCCACGGUGCACCACGCAAGCUCCCGGGCCUCUCUGAGGUCUCAGAGUCUGGGAGAGGCUGAGUCAUGCUCAAUGCUGUCUUUGGAUACCUUGCCGGAGCUGGAUCUGUCCUGGGAGGCUCUGAGAGCCUUGAGGGGCAUUGGACGGAAACGGAUGAGAGUGCCUAAAGGCAGCAAGAUCCCAGUGCUGGCCAGGAAUAGCUAUGUCUUCUCAAUUCAGCGGGAGAGUCCCUUGGGAGAGGAGGCAUGUGAAGACAUGGUGGAUGAGUUCAUGCCACUGGAGGCAAAACACCAAGCUCAGCGGACGCUACACCAGGAUCUCCAAGGAGCUUUUGACAACCUGAAGGAACGUCUCAAGGCAGCUGAGGAGGAGCUCAGGAGCUUCCAGGAGAAGGGAGGAGAAGUGGCAAGCCAGGAGACUGACGUUCCACUUGAGGAAACUGUGGGUAGCCAAGAGCGUUUGAUUCAUCAAAUGACAAAAUGCCUACAGAGCAAGGAAAAGCUGUUACAGGAUUGUCUGGUGAUCUUGCAGUCUCUUGGGUCUCCAGGGACCAAGCCUUCUGUGUUGGAAGCCUUGAUCAAGCAAAUGGCUCAGCGCUUGAAGGACAGAGACCAAGCGUUAGAGAAGACAUUAUCUGACAAUUUCUUGGCCCUGGAGUCAGUCCAUCGUGAAGUGAAGCACCUCCAAGAGGCCCUGAAGGAUAAAGAUGCCGACCUGGCAAGACUUCACGCUGCCCUGCGCACAGGCGAGGAGACGCUGCAUGCGUUGCGUGAGGUGCUGCACCAAAAGGAUCGGGAGAUCCAGCGGCUGGAAUCGCUAGGCUCUUCCACCCGGGACUCCUGGCAACAGCACGACCAGACCUGGCUCCUGGCUUUGAAGGAGAAGGAGGCCUUGGUCAAAGCCCUCCAGGAGGCCCUGAGCAGCAGCAACAAGGACGUGGAAGCUCUGGCAAAUUCCUUCAACAGCCCAGAAUUUGCCCCAGGACUGCUGCAGCGAAUCCACGAGAAGGAAAACCUCCUGACCCAGUUCUUAGCUGAGCAGGAGCAGAUCCAAGCCCAAUGGCAACAGCGCCUACAGGAAACAGAAAAGGCAGCAGCUGCUCGAGAGCAAGAACUUCAGGCCCAACUGCGCCAAUUUGGCCAGGAUGCCCAAGAACGGGCCCAAGAAACUGAACAGCUACGUCGGCGUUUGGCAGAAGCAGAAGAGAAACUGGUCCAAGAGGCUACAGGACUGGAGGAGCAGCGCAGCCAACUGGCUUUACUCCGUCAGAUGGGAGAUGUGAAGGAUCAUGCCCUUGGGACACUUCUGCGGGAGGGAGAGGAGAAGGACCGGAUCCUAUGCAGAUGGCAAGAGCACUGGGUCAGAGGGCUGAAGCAGGUCCCAGGGAGACAAGGCCUGUCUAUUCUGCCUUCCACCUAAAUCCACUUAUAUCUUCAGACCUUAAGAUUUCCAGGAAUUCAAGAAUAGAUAGACACUGAUUAGCCAAAGCACUGUACAUACAGGAAGAAAGGAAGACACUGCCAUUGAUUUCAGAAGGGGAAUGUUGUGGAGUCGACUUCUCUCUUCAAUUUAUGGGAAAGUGAAUGUUGCCGAUGCUGGAGAUCAACUCUCUCAGGGUACAAGCUGUGUCUUGGAAACACACUGCCUACAUGGAAUAACAAGUUUAAAACUGCUUGAUUUUGGAGUCUCUUAUUUUUGGUGUUGACUUGGUUUGUGAACCAUUCAAGGGGAAUUUCACUCUAAAAAGAGACAUGGGGAAAGUUCAGAGAAUGGGGAAGUUCAGAGAAAGGAACUGGCAGAACCACCCUGCCUAAGAAACCCUAUGAAAUUUACGAGAUCACUGUAAGUUGACUUAAAGAACACAUAGGUAAAGGUUUCCCCUGACAUUAAGUCCAGUCAUGUCUGACUCUGGGGGUUGGUGCUCAUCUCCAUCUCUAAGCCGAAGAGCCG